AAAAAAGAAAAAAAAACAGCAGCCCACCGCCGGCCGUCGCACCAGCACCGCCGUUCGCCGACACCUAACUAAAGAAAUAAGAACCAAAGCAAAAAGAAAAAGAAAAAGAAAAAGCAAGCAAAGAAAAAAAAUUUUCAAAGAAAAAAGAACACCCACGAAAAACAGGAAAGCAAAGAAGGAAAAAGGGGGAGGAGGGAAGUGCGCCGUCGUCGGCCGUCGUCGGCCGUCGCACCGUAGGCGGAGGAAGCGCCGGCAGCAACAAAGAAAUUGGUAGGGGGCUGAUAGAAGAAGAAGAAGAAGAAGAAGAAAGAGAGAAAAAGAAGAAAAAAAAAUUAAC
rnacentral:lncRNA from 1 species